UUCAACUGCUGUCCUUGAAACGCCUGGAGGGGGAAGCUAACUGUGGAAAUCAUCCGAGCCUGGAAUCUGAAAGGAGAUCAUCUUGGCCCAACUGACAGCUAUGUUAAACUGAGGUUCGGUUCCAUCAAUCAUCAGACUCGCAUGAUCGAAUCAAGUUAUCCCCAAUGGAAUGCUUAUUUUGAUUUUGGACAGGUGGACACACACAGUGAUGUGUAUGUUGAAUUAUGGGACGAGGAUCUGAUCUAUGAUGAUCUCCUGGGAUCAUGUUCCCGGCAUCCAACUCAGGGGACACGUAUAU